rnacentral:tRNA from 2 species
GCACUGGUGGUUUAGUGGUAAAAUUGGACAUUGCCAGCUCUUGAAUUUGUCUGGCCCCGGGUUCGAUUCCCGGCCAGUGCA